CUACGGAGGGGGUUAGCGUUGUUCGGAAUUACUGGGCGUAAAGCGCACGUAGGCGGAUUGGAAAGUUGGGGGUGAAAUCCCAGGGCUCAACCCUGGAACUGCCUCCAAAACUAACAGUCUAGAGUUCGAGAGAGGUGAGUGGAAUUCCAAGUGUAGAGGUGAAAUUCGUAGAUAUUUGGAGGAACACCAGUGGCGAAGGCGGCUCACUGGCUCGAUACUGACGCUGAGGUGCGAAAGCGUGGGGAGCAAACAGGAUUAGAAACCCGGGUAGUCC
rnacentral:rRNA from 1 species